UACGGAGGGGUCUAGCGUUGUUCGGAAUUACUGGGCGUAAAGCGCACGUAGGCGGAUUUGUAAGUCAGGGGUGAAAUCCCGGGGCUCAACCUCGGAACUGCCUUUGAUACUGCAAAUCUCGAGUCCGGAAGAGGUGAGUGGAAUUCCUAGUGUAGAGGUGAAAUUCGUAGAUAUUAGGAAGAACACCAGUGGCGAAGGCGGCUCACUGGUCCGGUACUGACGCUGAGGUGCGAAAGCGUGGGGAGCAAACAGG
rnacentral:rRNA from 1 species